ensembl:lncRNA
CGGAGGGGGCGGGGCCGCGCGCGGGGCGGGGCGGAGCCUCAGCUGCCCCUGUGGACCGCCCAGUCCAGGCCCGGUGGGGCUCCGCUCAGCAACCUGCAGAGCCCUGAUAGCUAAAAUGUAAUUUCAGAUUGGACAAGUAAGUGACCCUCCUCUCAGUCCCACGUGUGUACCAGGGGCUUUACAGAAGCGCAGGCUCGCAGCGCGAACGUUCUCCAACCGGAGAGCGUAUCUGGCCCAAGCUUCCCUCCCCUUUCCCGCAGUCGCCUCCUCCUCUUCCUCCUCUCACCGCCUGAGUCUUAACACCAGCGCCAGCCGGGCCCUUGGCCUCGGAGAUCUUGUUGAGUCCCCCUGUGUUCUGGGGCCCUCUACCACCUUAUUUCAGGAUAUUUCCUGGUAAAGAAUCCGCCCGCAAUGCAGGAGACCGAGGUUCGAUCCUUGGGUUGGAAAGAUUCCCUGGAGAAGGAAAAGGCUACUGGCCUGUAGAAUUCCAUGGACUAUAUAGUCCAUGGGGUCGCAAAGAGUCGGACACGACGGAGCAACUUUCACC